GACGAACGCUGGCGGCGUGCCUAAUACAUGCAAGUAGAACGCACAGUUUAUACCGUAGCUUGCUACACCAUAGACUGUGAGUUGCGAACGGGUGAUUAACGCGUAACUAACCUGCCUGGGAUCGGUUGAUAACUAUUGGAAACGUUAGCUAAUACCUCAUAAUAUUAAUUAUUGCAUGAUAAUUAAUUGAAUGGUUCAAUUGCACCACUACCACAUGGCCCUGCUUUGUAUUAGCUAGUAGGUGAGGUAACGGCUCACCUAGGGGACGAUACAUAGCCGAACUGAGAGGGUGGUCGGCCCAACUGGGACUGAGACCCGGCUCAGAACUCUUAGGGAGGCCGCCGUAAGGAAACUUCGGGAAUGGAGGGAAGGCUGAACGAGCAAAGGCGCGGGAGUGAAGAAGGUUUUCGGAUCGUAAAGAUCUGUUGUAAGAGAAGAACGAGUGUGAGAGUGGAAAGUGCACACCGUGACGGUAUCUUAUCAGAAAGGGACGGCUAACUACGUG
rnacentral:rRNA from 1 species